rnacentral:rRNA from 1 species
GACGAACGCUGGCGGCGUGCCUAAUACAUGCAAGUUGAGCGAUGAAGAUUGGUGCUUGCACCAAUUUGAAGAGCAGCGAACGGGUGAGUAACGCGUGGGGAAUCUGCCUUUGAGCAGGGGACAACAUUUGGAAACGAAUGCUAAUACCGCAUAACAACUUUAAACAUAAGUUUUAAGUUUGAAAGAUGCAAUUGCAUCACUCAAAGAUGAUCCCGCGUUGUAUUAGCUAGUUGGUGAGGUAAAGGCUCACCAAGGCGAUGAUACAUAGCCGACCUGAGAGGGUGAUCGGCCACAUUGGGACUGAGACACGGCCCAAACUCCUACGGGAGGCAGCAGUAGGGAAUCUUCGGCAAUGGACGAAAGUCUGACCGAGCAACGCCGCGUGAGUGAAGAAGGUUUUCGGAUCGUAAAACUCUGUUGGUAGAGAAGAACGGUGGUGAGAGUGGAAAGCUCAUCAAGUGACGGUAACUACCCAGAAAGGGACGGCUAACUACGUG